rfam:Podospora anserina genomic DNA, chromosome 2.
UCGGGUAUGGUGUAGCGGUAACAUAGUUGACUCUCACUUCUCAGAAGUGUCUGUUUAGAUUCAGUCUAGAAAUCUCUCAACAGCCCCGGGUUCGACUCCCGGUAUCCGAG